GACGAACGCUGGCGGCGUGCUUAACACAUGCAAGUCGAACGGAAAGGCCCUGCUUUUGUGGGGUGCUCGAGUGGCGAACGGGUGAGUAACACGUGAGUAACCUACCCUUGACUUUGGGAUAACUUCAGGAAACUGGGGCUAAUACCGGAUAGGAGCUCCUGCUGCAUGGCGGGGGUUGGAAAGUUUCGGCGGUUGGGGAUGGACUCGCGGCUUAUCAGCUUGUUGGUGGGGUAGUGGCUUACCAAGGCUUUGACGGGUAGCCGGCCUGAGAGGGUGACCGGCCACAUUGGGACUGAGAUACGGCCCAGACUCCUACGGGAGGCAGCAGUGGGGAAUAUUGCACAAUGGGCGGAAGCCUGAUGCAGCAACGCCGCGUGCGGGAUGACGGCCUUCGGGUUGUAAACCGCUUUCGCCUGUGACGAAGCGUGAGUGACGGUAAUGGGUAAAGAAGCACCGGCUAACUACGUG
rnacentral:rRNA from 1 species